AUCUCAGUGCUUCAUUUCUGUCCUCCACCACGAUGGGGUCAACUGCCAUCCUCGCCCUCCUCCUGGCUGUUCUCCAAGGAGUCUGUGCCGAGGUGCAGCUGGUGCAGUCUGGAGCAGAGGUGAAAAGGCCCGGGGAAUCUCUGAGGAUCUCCUGUAAGACUUCUGGAUACAGCUUUACCAGCAGCUGGAUCAGCUGGGUGCGCCAGAUGCCCGGGAAAGGCCUGGAGUGGAUGGGGAGCAUCUAUCCUGGUGAUUCUGAUACCAGAUACAACCCGUCCUUCCAAGGCCACGUCACUAUCUCAGCCGACAAGUCCAUCAGCACCACCUACCUGCAGUGGAGCAGCCUGAAGGCCUCGGACACCGCCACGUAUUACUGUGCGAAAGUCACAGUGAGAGAAACCAGCACUGAGAGCACCAAAAACCCUCCACAGUGCAGGUGCAGAGUGAGCUGCCAGAGACUCCCUCCCCAGGGACCUCUCUAUCAUCUCGCGGAGGAAACACUUUUUGUCCUCAGGAGCCAGAACCAGAGAACAACGUGGGAGGGUUCCCAGCCCCUAAGGCAACUGGAUAGGGGACCUAACCAUGGGAGGUGGAUUCUCUGAGCGGGCUCUUGUGUGUUCUACAAGGUUGUUCAUGGUGAAUAUUACAUAGUUAACACCAAAAGCCUGCCUAACAGGCACCUCUUCAAUAUGACAGUAUUUUAAUUAGUGAAAAUUUUACACAGUUAAUCAUUGCUUGCUUGCCUUCCUCCCUCCUAUCCGCUCUCACUCCCUCCUUUUAUUUUCUACUUUUACAAAAUCAUUUAAUCACUUUUUGAAAUAUUAAUAGGUUCUCUUGUUUUUGUUAUUGUUUUCAUUAAUAAUAUGCCCUGAAUAAUUCAUCUUUGUGCCAAUUCAUAAGUAUUCGGUAUAACAAAGACUUCCUUCA